rnacentral:rRNA from 1 species
GACGAACGCUGGCGGCGUGCCUAAUACAUGCAAGUAGAACGCUGAAGGAGGAGCUUGCUUCUCUGGAUGAGUUGCGAACGGGUGAGUAACGCGUAGGUAACCUGCCUGGUAGCGGGGGAUAACUAUUGGAAACGAUAGCUAAUACCGCAUAAUAGUAGAUGUUGCAUGACAUUUGCUUAAAAGGUGCAAUUGCAUCACUACCAGAUGGACCUGCGUUGUAUUAGCUAGUUGGUGGGGUAACGGCUCACCAAGGCGACGAUACAUAGCCGACCUGAGAGGGUGAUCGGCCACACUGGGACUGAGACACGGCCCAGACUCCUACGGGAGGCAGUAGUAGGGAAUCUUCGGCAAUGGACGGAAGUCUGACCGAGCAACGCCGCGUGAGUGAAGAAGGUUUUCGGAUCGUAAAGCUCUGUUGUAAGAGAAGAACGAGUGUGAGAGUGGAAAGUUCACACUGCGACGGUAUCUUACCAGAAAGGGACGGCUAACUACGUG